CUUUUACAUGCUUUAAAUACCUUAAAGUAGGCAGAAUCUCAAAUAGUGCAAGGAUGCGUGUUGCCCUAUGGCGACAGUGAGUGGCGACAGUGAGCUGUUAUAGAGCUGUCCAGACUUUUCCUGCCUCGAGUGAGUGCCAGCUGUCCUUGCAUGGAGUCCUGGUUCCUUUGGUGGAGGAUGGUGUUGAAAAUCUCAGCCUUUGCGGCGGGGAGCGGGGGCAUGGGACACAGGGAGUUGGUGGUGGGCAGAGAUGCUGCUGGGCCACUUUCAGUGACAAAACGUGACAGCGAAGGCUCUUGAAGUCAGUGCAGGCACCUUCAGGGAUACAACCCCUUCGACCAGGGCUGUGCCAGCAACUGGUAUUUAACAAUUUGUGCACCACUGGGACCCAAGUACAUGGCUGAAGCUGUCCAGCUGCAGAGAGUGGUGGGGCCUGACUGGACAUCCAUG
rnacentral:sRNA from 1 species